rnacentral:tRNA from 9 species
GGGCGAUUGGCGCAGCGGGAGCGCAGGUGCUUUACACGCACAAGGUCAGCGGUUCGAAUCCGUUAUCGCCCACCA